AAACCAUGGUGAGGGAAUCUUUGUACUAGUGACUUAAAUCGCUCUCAGGCUUCGUGAAAACUCUCUCCUUCCAUCUUUUUAAAUGUUGCAUUCUUUCUUCUCAGUUG
rnacentral:snoRNA from 1 species